rnacentral:hammerhead_ribozyme from 1 species
AGUAGCUGGCGAGUCCCAAAUAGGACGAAAUGAUCAUCCUGGAU